CUGAUGGAGUUCUUGAAAUACCUUAAUGAGAAACUUGUUUCACCUUUUCUAUUUUCUUUAUUUUAAUCUCUAGAAACUGUGUUAAAGCCUCACUUGUGAACGAAGAGGGAUUAUAAUGGUGAAGAGGUAAACUUUAUUUCUUUUAAACUCUCUUACAUUGUUUUGAUACAAUACAAGUCUUUGUAUAGAGAUAUAAUUAGGUUUAGAUGUCUACGCCAGCUCAUCGCUUAGGGAUUGGAAUCUAUUUG
rnacentral:lncRNA from 1 species